rnacentral:rRNA from 1 species
UACGGGGGGGGCAAGCGUUGUCCGGAAUUAUUGGGCGUAAAGAGCGUGUAGGCGGCCAGAUAAGUCCGCUGUGAAAUCUCGAGGCUCAACUUCGAGCUGUCGGUGGAAACUAUCUGGCUAGAGUCCGGAAGAGGAGAAUGGAAUUCCUGGUGUAGCGGUGAAAUACGUAGAGAUUGGGAAGAACACCGGUGGCGAAGGCGGCUAUCUGGACGGUUUCUGACGCUAAGACGCGAAAGCGUGGGGAGCAAACAGG